rnacentral:misc_RNA from 1 species
GUGAAACUUCAAAGUCGGCUUGUCCAUUACUGUGCUGGUGGAGACACAUGUGCACGUUUUUGGUGGGUCGCAAAAUCCACACACCUGUGCAUCUAUGACUCUGAGUGCCGCUUUGCGUGGCCUUGAUUGGCCUGGCGCUCGAGUACUUUUUCAUACACUCUCGAAUGUAACGGAAUGUCUUGUUGUGCGUAACGUACAAAUCGAAA